rnacentral:misc_RNA from 1 species
ACUGAAUUUACACAGGAAUCUGUGGUAACCACUAUAGUAAAACUUUGCCUAAAGAGUUUGCAAGAAUUUGUCAGACUCCAGACUUUCAACCGGAGUGGUUUUCAGCAAAUUCAGUUGGAUAUUCAGUUCCUAAGGGCUCCUCUAAAGGAAACCGUUGAAGAUGAAGCAGCCAUUGACUUUUUGCUCGAUGAGGUAAUUGUUGGCACUUCAGAACGUUGUCUCGACCG